rnacentral:misc_RNA from 1 species
CUGAUCUAAACGUUCACUAGUAUUUCUUCCAAUCAGAUGUAUCCUUUUAUUUGAAAUGGUCCUCAUCUGGGUGAAAUAAAAUAAAAUAAAACCAAUUCAAUGGAGGCUGAAUCACAUCCAUAGAGAUGCAAAAAGCAAACAAAUCACAUAAAUUGCAUGGCCAAAAUUCAUUAACCUGUUUCUGAAGCAAUACUGCCUUGAAACUGUUUCCUGAUGAAAAAUAUAUAAGAUCCAUUUCCCUUGUGCAUAAUUGCUUACAUUUCCAAAGGCAAGUCUAAUACAAAAUGUCAUUACUAGAAAACGUGCAAUCCUGAACAUUUUAACACGUGUACAUGGAAAUUAGGAAGAUAAGUCUGGAUGCAACUAGCAACAAGAAAAAGAAAUUACAUAGAAUUGUUUUAAAUGAUAUCCUUCCAUAUUUGGUACAAUGCAACCGUCUCAAUCCACCUGUGGUUUGUUUAUCUAUUGGAACAGAAAUCUACAACCAAUGGCAAAGCCAAUUGCAUUGGUUUUAGCUUCAAUCAAACUAGAAGUUUAAAGAAAAUUUCACAAUGGAAUUGAACGGAACAAAGGAAAUAAGACCUAAAGAGAAAAUAUCACAGUGAUGAGAAUGGAAUGGAAUAUUAUUAUUUUUAUUAAAUUUUUUGCCAAAACAGGUGUCCUUCCUUGGGGGUGGUAAGUAGCAGGAUUAGUUUACCAGACCCUUGAAACUUUUAGAUAUAGGUCUGAGGAAUUCAACUCUGAGACUUAACAAUGCAGGUUCAAUAUAUAAAUUAUAGUCAUCUAGUUUCACUUGACUCAGACAAAUACAUAUAAAAAAAAAAAUUCAGAUACAUGGGUGUCACAUUUAUAGGAAUUUAUGCAAUUCAAAAGACAAGAACUUCAAAUCCCACAACCAAAGAAAGAAACUUUUAUUUAUGGAGAAUAAAGAACCUGUACCUGCUGGACUAAUCCUUCAGGACUGCAAUGACAGGCUGGUUGGGUUUCACCAUCAAUCAUUUUUGAAACAGCUACAAAUAAAUAAAUAAACAAAGAUGUGAACAUGCUUGAAGAGAUGUAUAAAAUAUGCAAAGCAGCUCCAUGACGAGACAACACUGUAGCAACAGGAUCAUUUCCAUCCCUUAAAGCAGUGUUGCAGUAGCCAGCUGUAAGUUCAGCAGGGUGAGACAUUGUUUGGCACCACCAAUAUAUUCCAGCAAUUUUAGCAACUAAUAUAACUGGAUUUUGUUUGUUUUGUUGAUAUUUCUUCAGCACAUUAGCUGCCAUUGAUAGAAUAGCAUCUACAUGACAAAUCAGCUUACCACUGUACCAUUCCUAAAAGUAGAGUUGUAGCCUUGGACUUUUGGAACUUCAG